rnacentral:rRNA from 1 species
CCUACGGGCGGCAGCAGUGGGGAAUAUUGCGCAAUGGGCGAAAGCCUGACGCAGCGACGCCGCGUGAGGGAUGAAGGUCUUCGGAUCGUAAACCUCUGUCAGCAGGGAAGAACGGUCACUGUGCUAAUCAGCAGUGAAUUGACGGUACCUGCAAAGGAAGCACCGGCUAACUCCGUGCCAGCAGCCGCGGUAAUACGGAGGGUGCGAGCGUUAAUCGGAAUUACUGGGCGUAAAGCGCUCGUAGGCGGUAUGUCAAGUCAAGGGUGAAAUCCCCGGGCUCAACGUGGGAACUGCCUUUGAAACUGGCAAACUGGAGGGUGUGAAGGGAUGGUGAGAAUCCAAGGGGAGGAGUGAAA